AACACAUGCAAGUCGAACGAGAAAGUGGAGCAAUCCAUGAGUACAGUGGCGAACGGGUGAGUAACACGUGACUAACCUGCCUUCGAGUGGGGGAUAACCUCGGGAAACCGGGGCUAAUACCGCAUACAUCCUCAGGGUGCAAUUCCCAGGGGACCAAAGGCGUAAGACGCUUGAAGAGGGGGUCGCGGCUGAUUAGCUAGUUGGUGAGGUAAUGGCUCACCAAGGCGAAGAUCGGUAGCCGGCCUGAGAGGGCGCACGGCCACACUGGAACUGAAACACGGUCCAGACUCCUACGGGAGGCAGCAGUGGGGAAUUUUGCGCAAUGGGGGAAACCCUGACGCAGCAACGCCGCGUGGAGGAUGAAGCCCCUUGGGGCGUAAACUCCUUUCGAUCGGGACGAUUAUGACGGUACCGGAUGAAGAAGCACCGGCUAACUC
rnacentral:rRNA from 1 species